rnacentral:rRNA from 1 species
GGCUCAGGAUGAACGCUAGCUACAGGCUUAACACAUGCAAGUCAGGGGCAGCAUGUGGUUGCUUGCAACCAAUGAUGGCGACCGGCGCACGGGUGAGUAACGCGUAUCCAACCUUCCCCUUAGUAGAGGAUAGCCCGGCGAAAGUCGGAUUAAUACUCUAUGUUCUUCAAUGCGGGCAUCUAAGUUGAAGCAAAGAUUUAUCGCUAAGGGAUGGGGAUGCGUCUGAUUAGGUUGCAGGCGGGGUAACGGCCCACCUGGCCUACGAUCAGUAGGGGUUCUGAGAGGAAGGUCCCCCCACACUGGUACUGAGACACGGACCAGACUCCUACGGGAGGCAGCAGUGAGGAAUAUUGGUCAAUGGGCGCGAGCCUGAGCCAGCCAAGUAGCGUGCAGGAACCGACUGCCCUAUGGGUUGUAAACUGCUUUUAUCAGGGAAUAAAGUGAGGCACGCGUGCCUUUUUGUAUGUACCUGAUGAAUAAGGACCGGCUAAUUCCGUGCCAGCAGCCGC